rnacentral:misc_RNA from 1 species
AACACUAGCUAACUAGAAAAAAUGCUUCUUCUUUUCUUUUGUUUUUCUGUUUUCAAUGUAUAUAUAUUUUUUUUUAAUUAUAAGGGUAUAUCUUGGGAAUAUGAUCCAUGUCCAGUUUGGUAAGUGAUUUAGCCUUACCAUUUAUAAAAUAUCUCUCAACAGAGAAUCUUCUUAAGUUGGGGACUUGCAAUUACAUGGGUUACCUAUCUGAAUUUAUCAGGUGUAAAACUCUUUUUAGAUUUUUCACUUUGUUGUAACAUGUAGCUGUUGUCAACAAGUUUGGAACUAGUAGUUCAGGAUUGUGGUGAAAUUGAGUUUAGUUGUUUGCUUUGUUAGAAACUUUACUGCAAUAACAUAAUCUUUUACAACAAAAAUAAAAUAAAAUAUUUAGUUUGGAAGAGUUGAAUAGGUAAAGUAGUGAACUGUCUUUGCACCCUUGAAGCUUAAUGAUGACAAUCUUUCCUUGAUGCCUUCACCAAUCGCACGCAUGGACUCACUGCUGUACCAUUUUGACUACCACAGUACCAUCCUUCAAGGCUUCACCGCAAGUUCUCUCUCUAAAGUCCACAAGCUUUAAUUUUGCGAUGAUUAAUCUUUCAAUUAAUCAUUUUUAUGUGUAAUUUCUACUACUAUUUAGGAUUAUUGUUGAAUAGAGAGGGUUAUGAGUUUUUAACUUUGCAAUUUUUUAUUGAAAUUUGUAUGUUUUGUUGUUUGAAUUUCAACUUUGCAAUUUCUGGAUGGGGGUUGCUGGGAUUUUUAAGUAGGUGAAUUGCAAUUUGGGGAACUGGGAUUAUAACUGUCCAUUCU